rnacentral:lncRNA from 1 species
CUGGGUCAGGGCGUCUGUUCAGGUGCUCCGCUGAGCACACUUGCCUGCAGACACGGAUUCUGCCAGAGUCAUGGGCUCCCGAUUUUGAUCGGUUCCUGAAAACGACACAGCGGUCAUCUAAUAGUUUUCCGGGCAGCUCUGUCUCUCUGUGCACCCCGUUUCACAGAUUUCAGCUGCUUCACAUUCCUCAGACCUCAGCAGUUUUUUGACACUUUGCUGAUUGCUGUGUUGUGAGCUGGCAGAAGCGUGCUUCAAAUCCGCAGAUGCCAAGGUGAGAGUAACAGAGUUCUCAGGUGAAGAGCACCUUCUCCCUCAGAAGUGUGCACAUACAUUUUGUAGAGUCAGCACAGCUUAGGUUAGAUAGGCACAUCUUUCAUCAAAGUAUAGUAAAGAUGAAGGAAAAAAAUGCUGCAUUGUAGAAAAAGAUCUUCA